UAUAAGUGCGUGCAAGGAGCAGAGGUAAGACGGGUGUUGCAAGCGUUAUCCGGAGUUACUGGGUUUAAAGGGGGUGUAGGCUGGCCAUUAAGUCAGGGGUUAAAGCCCUGAGCUCAACUCCGGAACUGCCUUUGAUACUAUUGGUCUUGAAUGUUGUUGAGGUGGGCGGAACGGGUCAUGUAGCGGUGAAAUGCAUAGAUAUGACCCGGAACACCGAUUGCGAAGGCAGCCCGCUAAGCAACUAUUGACGCUGAGGCACGAAAGCGUGGGGAUCAAACAGGAUUAGAUACCCGAGUAGUC
rnacentral:rRNA from 1 species